UGCGUAGACGGUUAGAUAAGUCGGGUGUGAAAGCCCCGGGCUCAACCUGGGAAUUGCAUUCGAGACUGUGUAGCUAGGGUACGGAAGAGGGAAGCGGAAUUUCAGGUGUAGCGGUGAAAUGCGUAGAUAUCUGAAGGAACACCAGCGGCGAAAGCGGCUUCCUGGUCCAGUACCGACGUUCAGGCACGAAAGCGUGGGAGCAAACA
rnacentral:rRNA from 1 species